rnacentral:rRNA from 1 species
AUGUAUCCGGCGGGCCGGCGCACACCCUUCCCUCCACCAGCCCGAGCGCCCCGCUGGCGUGCCUCCAGCACUGGCUCUACGCGGCGUAGCAGUCCACUCCUUCCCACGCCGCCCACACCCUCCCAUCUACCGGAUCAGGUCGCGGCUCCCCUCGUGCUCCUAUCUUCCUCCCCUCCGGCAGCUCCACUCCAGCCCCAGCGGAAACACUCCUCUGGCUCAAAAGAUCCAUGGAGGUGA